AGCAGUGCCGCGGGAAUACGUAGGGUGCAAGCGUUAAUCGGAAUUACUGGGCGUAAAGCGUGCGCAGGCGGUUUGUUAAGACAGAUGUGAAAUCCCCGGGCUCAACCUGGGAACUGCAUUUGUGACUGGCAAGCUAGAGUGUGGCAGAGGGGGGUGGAAUUCCGCGUGUAGCAGUGAAAUGCGUAGAUAUGCGGAGGAACACCGAUGGCGAAGGCAGCCCCCUGGGCCAACACUGACGCUCAUGCACGAAAGCGUGGGGAGCAAACAGGAUUAGAUACCCCUGUAGUCCCUGUCUCUUAUACA
rnacentral:rRNA from 1 species